rnacentral:rRNA from 1 species
AUUGAACGCUGGCGGCACGCUUUACACAUGCAAGUCGAACGGUAACAGGUUAAGCUGACGAGUGGCGAACGGGUGAGUAAUGCAUCGGAACGUGCCCGAUCGUGGGGGAUAACGCAGCGAAAGCUGCGCUAAUACCGCAUACGAUCUGAGGGUGAAAGCGGGGGACCGUAAGGCCUCGCGCGAUCGGAGCGGCCGAUGUCAGAUUAGGUAGUUGGUGGGGUAAAGGCUCACCAAGCCAACGAUCUGUAGCUGGUCUGAGAGGACGACCAGCCACACUGGGACUGAGACACGGCCCAGACUCCUACGGGAGGCAGCAGUGGGGAAUUUUGGACAAUGGGCGAAAGCCUGAUCCAGCAAUGCCGCGUGCAGGAAGAAGGCCUUCGGGUUGUAAACUGCUUUUGUACGGAGCGAAAAGGCUCUCUCUAAUACAGGGGGCUCAUGACGGUACCGUAAGAAUAAGCACCGGCUAACUACGUGCCAGCAGCCGCGGUAAAAC